UGCUCAUACUUCUUUCGUGCUAAAUUUCCCAUUCCUGCGCAUAAAGAACUUGGUUUCCUCUGGUUUUUUUUAUGCUGCUGGUAAGCUCUUUUGAAAGUUUUCAAAGCUUCAUCCUCACUCUCCCAUCAGAAUUGAAGGUGAGCUUCUUUAGAAAGGUUGAAAGGUCACUCCCAUUCAACCCUUCUCUGGUUUUUAAACUUUUUCUUAUUUUCUCGUAUGUCGUAUGCUUAGGGUGUUCUACUUUUUAGUUGAAAAUUGUAAGUUUAAUAUUUAUAAUGAUUACUUAUAAUUUUUACUAACCAUGGUUCAAAGAGACAGUGCUUCUAUAUUUUACGAGGACUAUUGAGGAAAGAAGAACAAAUUAAAUUUAAAGAAUGAGAGACAAUAGAGCAGAGUAAAUUUCAAACCAAUUAAAACUAAGCAAGGGCACAAGAAAACAAGUUCAAGAGGAUAUGAUAUAAUCCACCUCCACAGAGUUCAGAAAAAUCAAAGAAAGACACAACAAAGCCCAUGCAGCAAGCUUUGCCAGUGAUUCGGAUGGACUAAUUGCAGUUUGAUGAAGAGAGUGGACAACACAUUAUUUCUAUGAAUUUUUUGUUUUUAUUUCAUUUAAUUGUCUUGCAAAUCAAAGUGAUAAAUUAGAAAUUCACAUUGUCGAUAUACACAAUUUGACAUAUUUACUGUCUUCAUUGUAAUAGUUUAUGUAGAGCU